AUGGCGCCGACCACGCAGGAAGAUGUGUCGGGAUCUAGUUCGAGGGCAGGACGGCGGCGGCGGCGGCGCACCCCGGUGUCCGACCGGUCUGCGGAGGCCCAACCGGAAGCUGCGCCGACCUCGCAGCGAGCGGCGCCGACCACACAGGAUGAGGUGUCGGGAUCUAGGUCGAGGGCAGGGCACCGGCGGCGCAUCCCGGUAUCCGACCGGUCUGCGGAGGCCCAACCAGAAGCUGCGCCGUCAUCGCAGCGAGGCAAGAGGAAAGCCUCCCCGGAGCGGUCGUCCGCAGCAUCGCAGCGACGCAGGAGGAAAGCACCCUUGGAGCCGUCAGAGGACAAGAGGCAGAAAAGAACCGCCAAGAAGCGGAAGAGAACUGACGAGAAGAAAGCCGCUAGCAGCAAGGGCGAGGAGGCCGCGGCGACGACCUCAGCUUCACCAGGCGCAUCGCAUGCCUCCUCCUCCGAGGCUUCCUCUGCGGCCAGCUCUCCUCUGCGUUGCCCUCUUCCCCCCGCCCCCGCCAUGGGCGCAGGACGUAACUACGACCCUGCGAUGGAGCCUGCCUACGAAGCCUAUAUGGACUUGAGUUCCAAGUACCAUGCGAAAAGAAAGCGCCAACUUCAACUUGUAACACUUGAUCGCUCCAAGGCUUCUUCAUGUAUGGUAAAUGAGAAAUUGCAGAGUGUUCGUGAGUCUGCAACAAAAACAGUUCUUCAAGUAGCUAAAGUUGUUCUUGGCUUUUCGUCCUAUGUCGAUGGUAAACUGAUGGCACGAUCAUCGGGCUUUCUAAUUGAUUGGGAUGAGAGGAGUAAAGCAGGCACAGUUUUGACAUCUGCGCGCAUAAUCUGUUCAAAGUAUUCAGCCCUAAGCCAGUGGUCAGGUACAGAUGAGUAUGCACCUAAUGCUGAGAUUGUUGCUCAUUUAUUGGAUGAAGAUGAUGCUACUGUACCAGCACUAUUGCUUCAUUAUGACAAGCACGUCAACAUUGCUUUGAUUAAGGUUGAGAUAGAAUUAUGUGCUAAGAUUCCUAGCUUCAGUGGUGACGUGAUCUAUGGUCAAGAGAUAUUUGUGCUUGGUAGAGAUGAACAUCAAAAUUUGACUAUUCAUCAUGGACGUGUUCAAUUUAUGGGCCCAAAUAAAUUUCAACGCCAUCAUUAUCUCUUCAGUGGUUGUGUGAUUAAUCAGCCUAGCAUUGGAGGACCUGUUAUUGACUUGAAUGGACAAGUUUGGGGGAUGGCUAAUUUUCCAGGAACGGCAUUUAUUCCUUCCUCUAUUAUAUUGAAGUGCUUGGAUAUGUGGAAGAAAUAUCAGUGUAUCCCUCGGAUGCAUAUUGGGAUGAAGCUUUCACCCAUUAAAUUUCUUGAUCCAAUUCAUGUGGAGAGGAUCUUUCGUAGGUGUAAUGUCGAUUCGGGUCUAAUAGUUCAUGAGGUGUCUCAUGGAUCAGUUGCUGACGAACUAGGAGUUAGACCCGGUGAUAUCAUUGACUCCGUGAAUGGAGAGCACAUUGCUACCACAAUUGAGUUGGAGAACUUACUUAUGAGAAUAUGUGAGAGUCAUCUUGACGAAGGAGGAGUCAUCGGUUCCUGUGUGGACAUACCAGUUGGUAUAUUGCACGUGCGGAAAGGUCGCAAAGAUCCGAGGCACAGGAGCACUUUAAGUCUGAGAUUAAAUGUAGCAGAAGGCGUAGAGGCGUUCACAAGUGGUACUUUAACUGUCGAAGUAUGA
rnacentral:rRNA from 1 species